rnacentral:rRNA from 1 species
AUGUCAACUGGUUGUCGGGUCUUCAUUGACUUGGUAACGUAGCUAACGCGUGAAGUUGACCGCCUGGGGAGUACGGUCGCAAGAUUAAAACUCAAAGGAAUUGACGGGGACCCGCACAAGCGGUGGAUGAUGUGGAUUAAUUCGAUGCAACGCGAAAAACCUUACCUACCCUUGACAUGUACGGAAUCCUGCUGAGAGGUGGGAGUGCCCGAAAGGGAGCCGUAACACAGGUGCUGCAUGGCUGUCGUCAGCUCGUGUCGUGAGAUGUUGGGUUAAGUCCCGCAACGAGCGCAACCCUUGUCCCUAGUUGCUACGCAAGAGCACUCCAGGGAGACUGCCGGUGACAAACCGGAGGAAGGUGGGGAUGACGUCAAGUCCUCAUGGCCCUUAUGGGUAGGGCUUCACACGUCAUACAAUGGUCGGAACAGAGGGUUGCCAAGCCGCGAGGUGGAGCCAAUCCCAGAAAACCGAUCGUAGUCCGGAUCGCAGUCUGCAACUCGACUGCGUGAAGCUGGAAUCGCUAGUAAUCGCGGAUCAGCAUGCCGCGGUGAAUANNNUCCCGGGUCUUGUACACACCGCCCGUCACACCAUGGGAGUGGGUUUUGCCAGAAGUGGCUAGUCUAACCGCAAGGAGGACGGUCACCACGGCAGGAUUCAUGACUGGGGUGAAGUCGUAACAAGGUAACCA